GAUGAACGCUGGCGGCGUGCCUAAUACAUGCCAGUCGAGCGAACGGACGAGAAGCUUGCUUCUCUGAUGUUAGCGGCGGACGGGUGAGUAACACGUGGAUAACCUACCUAUAAGACUGGGAUAACUUCGGGAAACCGGAGCUAAUACCGGAUAAUAUUUUGAACCGCAUGGUUCAAAAGUGAAAGACGGUCUUGCUGUCACUUAUAGAUGGAUCCGCGCUGCAUUAGCUAGUUGGUAAGGUAACGGCUUACCAAGGCAACGAUGCAUAGCCGACCUGAGAGGGUGAUCGGCCACACUGGAACUGAGACACGGUCCAGACUCCUACGGGAGGCAGCAGUAGGGAAUCUUCCGCAAUGGGCGAAAACCUGACGGAGCAACGCCGCGUGAGUGAUGAAGGUCUUCGGAUCGUAAAACUCUGUUAUUAGGGAAGAACAUAUGUGUAAGUAACUGUGCACAUCUUGACGGUACCUAAUCAGAAAGCCACGGCUAACUACGUG
rnacentral:rRNA from 1 species